GAUCCUGGCUCAGGAUGAACGCUAGCUACAGGCUUAACACAUGCAAGUCGAGGGGAAACGACAUCGAAAGCUUGCUUUUGAUGGGCGUCGACCGGCGUACGGGUGAGUAACGCGUAUCCAACCUGCCCAUCACUUGGGGAUAACCUUGCGAAAGUAAGACUAAUACCCAAUGACGUCUCUAGAAGACAUCUGAAAGAGAUUAAAGAUUUAUCGAAGAUGGAUGGGGAUGCGUCUGAUUAG
rnacentral:rRNA from 1 species